GCAGAAAAUCCAACAAAAACACAACUUACAGUGAUUCAUCUGACGACGAAGUAAAUAAUCCGGAUUCUUUUACCCUGCCACCACCACCCGUCAUUGCACAUGGUUCAAAAGGUUUAAAAUAAAUUAUCUUAUUGGAUGAAAUUUUUAAAUUUUCAUUAAGCUUAACAUUUCCAUUAACUAUGCAGACACUGAUAAAAUCAACAAGUUGAUCUUUGACUCUGCAAAAAAGUAUGACCCACCUCACAGCUCCCCGAUCCCGUUCACUCUUGGCUUAGUUGGGGUAGAAAAUCUUGGCACUACAAACGAAACUAUUUCUGAUUCAGAUUCGUCACCGGACCAUGUUUUGAAUGAGCUUCAGGUUCCGGCUACUACUGAAUACAGAAACGAUAACGGUGGGGAUAACCGGGAUGAUUCUUUUACUGCCACCCCUUUGCAAAAUUGUCAUCCAGAUAAGGACUUUCAAAACUGGGUGGCUAGAAAUAUUACCAUUUUGAAAGCUCAGAACCGACAAAUUCAGAACAGUCUUGACGGUAUUCUAUUACAACUUGGGGAAAGGACUGAAUAUAAAAAUUCCCAACCAAAAAAUGUUCACCACGAGUUACCAUGCAAGACUUUGGAUGAUGUUGAAAAUGGAAAGAAGGUUUAUUCUUCUUCAGAUAGUCGGGAAUCUUUAGUAAGCCGGAAAUUCUAACAUGUUUAAUAAUUAUGACGUAAAACUGUUUAGUUACGCAUGCACUUAAAUUAGGUACAAUAUCUCAGCCAGAAGUGGGGAAAGAGUGUCUCUUCGUGCACUCGGAAGGUGCUUUCUUGUUUGUGCACCGAUGAAUUGGCCUGUAACUACAAUUGGAUUGGAUCGCGUGGUGGCAAAGUGGGAUUUAAGGAGACAUGGAUGAAGUCAAUUAUUUUGGGCAAGUCAUUCACAAAUUCUCCUGGAUUUACUUGGAGUAUAAUUUUUCUGU